rnacentral:rRNA from 1 species
ACUCCUACGGGAGGCAGCAGUGGGAAUAUUGCACAAUGGGGAAGCCAUCGAUGCAGCCAUGCCGCGCUGUGUGAAGAAGGCCAAUUCGGGCUUGGUAAAGACACUUUCAGUCGUGAGGAAGGUAGUGUAGUUAAUAGCUGCAUUAUUUGACGUUAGCGACAGAAGAAGCACCGGCUAACUCCGUGCCAGCAGCCGCGGUAAUACGGAGGGUGCGAGCGUUAAUCGUAAUUACUGGGCGUAAAGCGCAUGCAGGUGGUUUGUUAAGUCAGAUGUGAAAGCCCGGGGCUCAAGCCUCGGAAUUGCAUUUGAAACUGGCAGACUAGAGUACUGUAGAGGGGGUGAGUAAUUGAUCGAGGUGUAGCGGUGAAAUGCAGUAGAGAUCUGAAGGAAUACCGGUGGCGAAGGCGGCCCCCUGGCACAGAUACUGACACUCAGAUGCGAAAGCGUGGGAGCAAACAGGAUUAGAUACCCUGGUAGACAUCA